AAUUCUCAAACUUUUUCCUUGUUAAUCUUGGAGACAGUUUGGAUAUGAGAGCUGCUGGUUUUCUUGAACCGGCUCUCUUUAAAUGCAUUAGUAGUUUUGGCUUUGUUCCACAUUCUCAAUUGAUGUGAUAGUUAUCUACAUCAUUAGAGAUUGAAUCUGCUUAUUAACCGUCUUUCGACAAGUCUUUGACC
rnacentral:misc_RNA from 1 species